GGCCCAGUGGUGUAGUGGUAACACGCUCCGGUUUCCUGAGGCCUGGGGGAUAGACUGGGAUAGAUUGGGAUAGAAGGGAAUGCUAAGGACGGAGUCGCCGGAGUAUCGCAGGUUCAAAUCCUGCCUGGGCUG